CGAGGUGUGGCUCAGUUUGGCUAGAGCACCUGUUUUGGGAACAGGGGGUCGCAAGUUCGAAUCUUGUCACCUCGA
rnacentral:tRNA from 1 species